GUUCCAAUAUUGCUGUCAUUUGAAUUAUACAAUCCAUCGUGAUAUGUAACUAUAAGUGAUUUACUAUGCGGCUAUAUAUAUAUAUUAAGAUUUACAUAAUAAAGUGUAAAUAUGGUCAGUUUUGGUUGAUGCUGUCACAUAUGGUCAGUUUUGGUUGAUGCUGUCAAAUAUGGUCUGUUUUGGUUGAUGCAGACAAAUAAUUUUGUUAUAUGAGUCAGUCUG
rnacentral:lncRNA from 1 species